AUUGAACGCUGGCGGAAUGCUUUACACAUGCAAGUCGAGCGGCAGCACGGGGGUAACCCUGGUGGCGAGCGGCGAACGGGUGAGUAAUACAUCGGAACAUGCCCAGUCGUGGGGGAUAACACUUCGAAAGAAGUGCUAAUACCGCAUACGUCCUGAGGGAGAAAGCGGGGGAUCGCAAGACCUCGCGCGAUUGGAGUGGCCGAUGUCAGAUUAGCUAGUUGGUGGGGUAAAGGCCUACCAAGGCAACGAUCUGUAGCUGGUCUGAGAGGAUGAUCAGCCACACUGGGACUGAGACACGGCCCAGACUCCUACGGGAGGCAGCAGUGGGGAAUUUUGGACAAAGGGGGCAAACCUGAUCCAGCCAUUCCGCGUGAGUGAAGAAGGCCUUCGGGUUGUAAAGCUCUUUCGGCAGGAACGAAACGGUGAGCUCUAACAUAGCUUGCUAAUGACGGUACCUGAAGAAGAAGCACCGGCUAACUACGUG
rnacentral:rRNA from 1 species